UGAAGGUUAAAUAGUAAGCAAAAUGGGCCCACCCAAAAACGUCAGGUCGAGGUGUAGCGUACGAAGGGGGAAGAAAUGGGCUACAUUUUCUAAUCAACAGAAUAUUACGAAUGAGCACCCUGAAACAUAGUGCCUAAAGGUGGAUUUAGUAGUAAAAAGCAAAUAGAGAGUUCUUUUGAAAUAGGCUCUGAGACGCGCACACACCGCCCGUCACUCUCCCCCACCCCUUCAAAUUAACAUUACUAAUACCUUAAAAAAUAAUACGGGGAGGCAAGUCGUAACAUGGUAAGUGUACCGGAAGGUGUACUUGGAAUAA
rnacentral:rRNA from 1 species